CGGACGGGUGAGUAAUGUCUGGGAAACUGCCUGAUGGAGGGGGAUAACUACUGGAAACGGUAGCUAAUACCGCAUAACGUCGCAAGGCCAAAGAGGGGGACCUUCGGGCCUCUUGCCAUCAGAUGUGCCCAGAUGGGAUUAGCUAGUAGGUGGGGUAACGGCUCACCUAGGCGACAAUCCCUAGCUGGUCUGAGAGGAUGACCAGCCACACUGGAACUGAGACACGGUCCAGACUCCUACGGGAGGCAGCAUG
rnacentral:rRNA from 1 species